UCUCUCGCCAUCUCGCAUCGCUGCCCGUAAAAGACAACCUCUCCCUCUAUCUCUAGAACCUUCCCCGAAGCAGACGGACGCCCACCGACCCCCCACACCCCCUCCCGUCUCACACGGCCACCUACGCCUCCGCCUGUUCAUUCGUUUUCCUCGUCUAUAUCCAUCUGUUACGUACAACCCCCCUCUCCUCUCCUCCUCCUCCGACACACAUACACACACACACAGACACAGACACCUGACUCCUCGUUUACAUACACAGCUACGCGAGGACGUAUUGUGGCACCGCCGUCGACUGACUGCUUGCCGGAUCCGCAGACGCCCGGGCCCUCCUCUGUAGUGCAUUACGCGGAGACCAGUCUUUUGCUCGCUUCCGCUGUGAACACCUCCCACACUCCUCGGCGCCUCCGCGCGUGCCUUCCGUAUUGUCUCUUGAAGCCCACCCCCGCCGUUUGCGCGAUACUGACGCGCUCACUACUCGUUCUGUCGCUCUCAAACCGUAUCCCUCCCGCAACCCUUGCUUCUCAGGACCUUCGACUGCCCUUCGUCUCUCGUACACCCCUCUUCUUGUCCGUGCCUGACAUCUUUGCUACCAUGUCGGGCUUGACGAAGUUCUUCCCUUACUCCACCAGCUUCCUCAAGGGCUCGGCGACGGACAUCGUGCUACCAACGCUGGCUGGUAAGACCUUCUUCUUCUACUUCUCGGCUAGUUGGUGCCCGCCAUGCCGCGGCUUCACUCCGAAGCUCGUUGAAUUCUACAACAAACACGCGAAGUCGAAGAAUUUCGAGGUGAUGCUGAUCUCUUGGGACGAGGAGGCCGACGAUUUCAUGGAGUACUACAAAAAAAUGCCAUGGCUGGCGCUGCCUUUUGAGGAUCGAAAAGGGAUGGAGUUUCUUAAGAAUGGGUUCAAGGUGGAGACGAUUCCGACGCUGAUCGGCGUCGAAGCGGACACAGGCAAGAUCGUUACGACACGGGCGCGCAACAUGGUCGAGAAGGAUCCCGAGGGGAAGGAGUUCCCGUGGCCCAACGUGUCGGAGAAGUAAACCAAACACAAAGGGGUGCACCAUAUGCACCAGUGCUGGAGAGGGUGAACGCACGAUGAGGUACGUGCUUCAGUGGCAAGCAGUGAUGGUGGUGCGCGCCUGCUCGCGCGCGCACUUCGAAUGCGUCUUCCAGAAGAUGCUUACCUUGAGGAUGCUUCUCUCUGUUUUUCUCUUGUACCUUGGCAACUCUCGUUGAGGGUGAUCGGCAUGAGCGCUAGCGCGACCCUGCCCGAGGACCGUUAUCCUUGCCGUCCUCUCCCCCCCCCCCAUCAACCCCUCACCACGAUUGGUCGUCUCCCGCCGUUUUCCUCCUGAUAGCGAUCGUUAUGGAAAUGCUGUGGCUCGCUUGCACAGGCACAAGCACACUUAAAGGGCACAUUUCUGUUGUACUAAUCCUCCGUGUCCUGCGUACAAGAGACUCGACGCACCCUGCCCUCUUACUCCAAUGUUCGCGUAUACACAGAAAACAAGCUGACCGUCUCUGCUGCUGCUGCUGAUCAGUGAGCGAGUUCCCGUCAUUCGUCUGUUGCACCACAUCGGUAGGAUGGGAGGGGAAGACCGCGAAAAAGAAAUGAGCAGAACAUGAGGAGGAGCGCCAAGCGUGGCGCAUUUCACCCCCACACGCGCACAUUUUGGUGAAACCAGAGUCGAGAAGAAAGCGGGGUGUGCAGUAAUGGGCUUGCAUGCGGCUUUGGACAUACACGGGCGCAGCUCGUCAAUCAGCGGUGAUGUGUAGGAGGUGGGG
rnacentral:misc_RNA from 1 species